ACAGUCUGACCCUGGCCAAACAGUGCCACCCAGUUAGGAGUGAAAGACACAAGGUAUAAGAAAAGAUGCUCCAGAAUUGUUAUUUCAUGGGGAAUGCAAACAGUUACUAAAACAAAAUAUUUAACAGUUUUUUUUUAUUGCUAUAAUGAAUUAAAAAUCAUUUACGUAUGCAAAAAUCUAGAUUAAUAAUAAUCUAAUAUUUUGCGCAUACAGUACCGAGGGAGACCUAUGUAUCUUCAUGGUUACAGACUACAAACAAACCUUGUGUGCAGUAUGCGUCUUGUUUUAGAUUACCAUGGGAUUACUUUAAACUCCAUACUGCUAUUUUGAAGGAAUUAUCUCAUUUAAAUGAUGGUGGGAAUCAGAUAAAAGAAGUGUAGUAUGUAAAUUUCCUAGCCCAAUGUGAUAUAUGGCUAUGUGAAAUGGAUGGGGGCAAUACUUGCUAAAGGAAAUAUGAAGGCAUGCAGAACUGUUGGAUUAAAAAGAAGCUAUUGACUGGCAUGUUUAAAAACUAUUCACAUCUAAAAUGCUGUGUAUUAUGAAGUGCAGAGGACCUGUCACCACGUAAUGCAGCAGGUUGUAGAGCAGGAGAAGCUGAAAACACAUUGAUAUAUCAUUUCUGGGAAAAGUCAGUAAAACUUAAUUUAUGCAUUUAAAUCUCUGCUCUUUCUGGCGACAGAAUGAAGUUUAAAGGGAAUAUGUCACCAGGUACUUCCCUAUCCUACUGUUUGUAUGGACACAUAGCUGUGGUUCACCUGAUUAAAAUGCUGUUUUUCUUUUGUUGAUCUGAGGCUCCAUUCCAGAGCCUUAUGAUGCAAAUUAGGCCCUUGGUGCAAUGAGGGAAUCACGGUUGCUCUUGUUGCAAUCAAGCUCCAUUCUUUUCAGUGGCCAGCCCCUCCAUGGCUGUUUUGAAUGACAAAGCAGUGAGGGAGAGAGGAGCUUGGGUCAACAAGAGCAAUGGUAAGACCUUCAUUGCACCAAAACCUCAUUUGCACAUUAAGAAAAAGUAUUGCAACUAGGGAAUGGAGCCUUGGUUCAACAAAAGACUGCAUUUUAAUCGGGGGAACCAGAGCUAAGUGUCCAUGCAAACAGUUGGAUAGGGAGGUUACUGGUGACAGAUUCCGUUUAACAAAAAGAAAUCCUUACCUUUUAGUGCACUAACAUAAUAACAUAAUACUGAAAAUAAGAGUUUAGAGAGUAUAUACUGUACAAAUGCAAAUGCAGCGGAGCUAAACUUGAUGGUUAGCGCAUUAAGUAAAGAAUGGCAAGAAAAAGAUAACUAACUGUUCAGUGGAUUUCAAUAGCUUUUGUCACGAGAUAACUGCGAUAACACUGUGCCAUGUGUUAUCAGAUUCAAGUUUAGCUCUGCUACAUCUGAACUUUACUUCAUAUAUCCAAAUAUUGUACUACAUUGCUGUAAAUAUCAUCAAUAUAAAAACCUGCAAAACUAAUUUAGGCUAUUCUAAAAUCCAUGUUCUUGCUACUGUUGUACAAACAAUGUCCAUUAAACAAAAGGAUUUCUUGCUACCAGAAAUAAUGCUUAUACAUAUUUAAAAUGAACAUGAAGAAUAAAUAAAACUGAAUACUCAGUCAGAAUAAAUCUUUUUUUCCUAAGUGCUCUCCAUAUUCCUCAUUCUGGAAGACAUAGCCAUACGGUGAAUGGACAUUGUUCAGAGAUAAGUAAUUAUAAAAUAAACACCCAGCACCAAGUAUUAUAGGACUAUAAAGAAACAGAAUAUGUAAAUAUAAUUUGCUUUGAAAUCUUAGGAAGGAACUGAAGUAAUCAAUAGUUCUUUGUGUAUCUAUAGUAUUAUUUUUCAUACAACUUUGCAGAAAUCAAUAGUACAUGCACCCCACAAGAAACUAUGUAAUAUGUCUUAGCAGAGAGAAAUGUCUACUUCUUAUUUUAGAAGCUACUAAGCUCCACUAAUUUGCAUUUACUUUGAAAAAUGCCUUAAUCCCAUCCUAGACUGGAACAGACCCACAAGAGGAUCAUAUUACACAUAUGAGUGCAAGUCUAUGGAGAGGGGGGGGAGUGAGCAGGAGCACACACCGACACGAAGACUGCUGGAGCUACAUGGACUCAUAUAUAAACUACCUGAGUGCUUAAUCCACAACCAUACAGGUCAGUACUACUCUCUUUUGUCCUCCAUUAUCUUGAGGUUGGUUCUGAGGAACUAAGAGAAGGUUAAUAAGCAGAUUCUGCUCUACUUUCUAUGUGCAGUUGAUGGCAGCUGGUCUCCUUUCACCAUCUCUGAGAGUACUGCAAACUAGACACUCACUAUGCACAGAGGAAAACUGCUAAAAAAUGGCACAUACAAGUCAUAUAGUGGCCAGAAAUAGUGUUCUUUCUCAUUUACACACACUAUACUAUUGAUUAAUGCAAAGUUUGUUGAAAAGUUAGGUACACUUUAAAUGGACUGUUGUAAACACAAGGGUACAUGUCUUAACAUAAUCUAUCUUUAGUCGUCAUACAAAAUUAGCUAUUGUAGCUGCUUCUAAAGCAUUGUCAAAAGUGUCGAAUGCUGUUUCAAGAGAUCAUUAUACAUGAUGGUCAAUAUAUAGUAAGGUCAACAGGUCUUUUGUACAAUUUGCUGGUUUAAACUAUUGGUGUUUGCUAAAAAUGAAGCUGUCACUGGAACAGGCACCUGUAACAGACUUCAAACCAUUAAAGUGGAUAUCCAAAAUAAUUAAAAUUCUCGGACAUGUACCCAAAUGCUGUUAAAUAAAGAUAAAAAUAUAGUAUACUUACCUCUUUCCCUGCCACCAUUCUCAUGACCCACUAGUCCGGUCCUCCUAUUGCUUUUUUACUGAUUGCAGCUGUGGUGUACCAAUAUAAGGCAUGUGACUGUUGCAGCCAUUCACUGUUCUCAGCAGUAUACAUAUAUCGUACAUCAACGCUGCAGUCGGUAAGCAAGCAGUGGUAGGAGGACUGGCAGAGCGGAGAAUGGCACCAGAGAAAGAGGUAAGUUUACCAUGAUUUAAUAUUUUACAGCUUUUGGGGGCAUGUUUAAGAUUUUUAAUUGUCUCGGACAACAAAUUUAGCUAAGCUGACAUCUACAAGAGGCCAUGCCACACUACCCUACAGCAGUCGUUAGAAAAGUACCUCGUUGGGAGACAAAGCAUGCUACUUCUGGUACCAAGAUUGGCUCUAUGGAGAAUAGGUGGGCAUUUAAUAGCUGCAACCAUAUAUACUAUUUCGGCUUGCAUAUAGCAACCUACCAGUACCCUAAUGUAAAGAGGGAAAAUAUUAAUUUAAAUAAAGCUAAAAGCACGUACCUCCCAAAACGUGGUCAACUUGAAAGGAAAUGUCCACCCUUGAACACAAUCUAGGUUUUUUGUUAUCUAAAUAAUUCCAGAAUUAUGUACUGAUUCAUUUCUUUCUUUAUUUGUUUUGUUAUAGCAGUGGGUGCUACAUCUUUCUGGUACAAAGCUUAAAGGAAAUGUGCCACCAAAAUUUUUAUCUGCUAGUUAAAAUCAGAUAGUAGCACAUCUUGUUUUAAUCUGUUUUUAUUUUCUGAACAUGAUUAUGUGGGUGGCCAUCUUGCCUUAGCUGUUCUUAAUGGCAUUUACAAAACAUUAAAAACAUUGCUUUACGGCAGUCCAAUGGGCCAUAGACAGGAGGGGACCCUAUUGACUUACAUGGGAAAGUUUUCUAGGCAUGCUCUGUGACCCGUGCAAAGGUCAUUGUACAGGGAAAGAAUAGAUAACUUUUGACAAUCACCUAUUGUGAAUUGUGGAUCCUGUCUUAUCUAAACAAUUACAGGCAGGAUAACAAUGAGUUAACUGCAGUAAAGUGAUCUGUACAAACAAAGAAGUGGCACCAAUAUUAAACAUAGUGGCCAGUGCAACAACUGCAGGAUUUUUGGUUUUAAUUUAAAUAUAAAAAGUGACAUGGAAAA